rnacentral:lncRNA from 1 species
GAUGCAAAUGAUUCAUUUGCAUAUUCACAAUCUCAUUUAUUUGCCGGGAUCAGCCAGGUGACCCAAAAACCGGGAAUUUUCCUCCCCAAUUCACAGAAUUCUGAUCCCAUAUUUGGGGAUUUUGGGGCCUCCUUGGUGGCGUCGGAAUUCCCGGAAUUCCCGGAAUUCCCAGAAUUCCCGGAAUUCCGAUCCCGGCCCGGCGCCCUCUGGGAUUCCUUUCCUUCCCGGCACGGGAAAAUCCCGCAGCGCUUUUGGGAUCUGGGAUUUUGGGAUUUCCGCUCAAAUUCCUUGGAAUUCCCGAGGGUUUUGGUCCUUCCUUGGGUUGUUUGGAUCCCCAAAUCCUGCUGGGAAUUCCCUGUCCCCUCACCCGUUACUCACUUGUUACUCACCUGUUCCUCACUCGUUACUCACCCGUUCCUCACCCGUUCCUCGCCCAUUACUCACCUGUUCCUCACUCGUUCCUCGCCCGUUACUCACCCCUUACUCACUUGUUCCUCACCCAUUCCUCACCCGUUCCUCACUUGUUCCUCACCCGUUCCUCACCCGUUACUCACCCGUUCCUCACCCAUUCCUCACCCGUUUCUCACCCCUUACUCACCCGUUACUCGCCCAUCCCUCACCCGUUCCUCACUCGUUCCUCACCCGUUACGCACCCGUUACUCACCCGUUCCUCACCCGUUACUGACCCCUUACUCACCCCUUACUCACUUGUUCCUCACCCGUUCCUCACCCGUUACUCACUUGUUCUUCACCCGUUCGUCACCCAUUCCUCGCCUGUUCCUCACUCGUUCCUUGCCCGUUCCUCACCCAUUACUCACCUGCUCCUCACCCGUUCCUCACCCCUUACUCACCCCUUACCCCUUACUCACCCAUUACUCACCCCUUACUCACCCGUUACUCGCCCGUUCCUUGCCCGUUCCUCACCCGUUCCUCACCCGUUCCUCACCCGUUACUCACCCGUUCCUCACCCAUUCCUCACCCCUUACUCACCCGUUACUGACCCCUUACUCACCCCUUACUCACCCCUUACUCACCCGUUCCUCACCCCUUACUCACCCCUUACUCACCCCUUCCCCAGGUGUGGCCAUGGAGGGGCUGCGGGGCCGGGACCCCCCCUGUGCCCGGAACAUUCCAGCCCUGUCCGAGGAGGAGGAGGAGGAGCCAGGUGAGGAGGAGCCAGGUGAGGAGGAGGAGCCAGGUGAGGAGGAGGAGCCAGGUGAGGAAGAACAAGCUGAGGAAGAUCCAGGUGAGGAAGAAGCAGGUGAAGAUGAAGAAGACCCAGGUGAUGAAGACCCAGGUGAUGAAGACCCAGGUGAUGAAGACCCCGGCGAGGAUGAAGACGCAGCCCAGGAAGACCCACCUGGAUCCCUCCAGGUUCUCCCCGCUCCUCGCCGGCCCCGCCUUUACCUGCGGCCCCGCCCGGCGCCAGAUGAGCCGGGCCCCUCCCACCUGAGCCCCUGGGACCAGGUGAGCUCCCACCCCUCACCCGAAGCGGGCGGGGCCUUCGUCCACCUCAUCGACGAGCGCGGCGUCUACUCC